rnacentral:misc_RNA from 1 species
GUGAGAGGGGGCUUGCUCCCGAUGACGGUACAUCAGUCAGACAUAUGUCGGCUGACACUCCGCUAUCGGGAGCAAGCCCCCUCCCAC